rnacentral:rRNA from 1 species
UACAGAGGGGGCAAGCGUUAUUCGGAAUUAUUGGGCGUAAAGGGCGCGUAGGCGGCUUUGCAAGUGACGGGUGAAAGCCCUCGGCUUAACCGAGGAACUGCCUGUCAGACUGUAAGGCUUGAGACCGGGAGAGGUGAGUGGAAUUCCCAGUGUAGCGGUGAAAUGCGUAGAUAUUGAGAGGAACACCUGCGGCGAAGGCGGGUUGCUGGGCCGACACUGACGCUGAUGCGCGAAAGCCAGGGGAGCGAACGGG